GCAAAUAUGACGAAGUUAUGAUUAAUGCUCCGUACAAAAUCAAUGCGGCGUAUAGUUUCGAAAAAUAAUGCUUAAACAAGUGACUAGUGAUGGAAUAACGGCGGCUUAGUGGUUCGUCAACCUGACAUUGUAGAAGAAAAUUUUGUGGGCGAAAAAAUGUCUGGUGAUGGAUGGCGUAAAACAAGGUUGACAGGAAGGGUCGGAUGCGCGCACGCGGUUUGAUUAAGGUGAACACGCUAGUGAAAACGAAGAAAUCAAAACGCGUCAUGAGAAAUCACCGGAACGAACCCGACCACGUGGGAUGAAAGCGUCAGUGUAGAACGCAAUCACAUGGCACCACGAAAGGUUAUCGAAAGAAACUGGAUCAAAUGAGAAAAGAGCGCCUGCAAUCAAUAGAACCACAUAAAAUCAUUAAGAAUCUACCAAGACGCGCUAACGAAAUCGCAACGUAGCAAAAAGGAAAUCAGAGUCACUCAGGCACCAAAGUCUGACACCGACACCCGAUGAGGAUCCCAAAACGUAGGAAAGCUUGAUUACUCUCAUAAUAUACAGAGAAAAGGGGGAACGAAAAUUACAUUUGAGGGAAAUAAACUCGGAACAUUUUUGCGGAUACGGAUCGCGAUAGACGGAUACUACGAAGGUAGUUCUAGAAAGAUAGGAAUAUGGCGAUAAUAGAGCUGACAAACAAAAGAAGAAUGGGGAUUGGGGCCAAUAAGGAAUUGCAAACUCAAAUACUUGCACUAGAACAGAGUUCAUGAGGACGUAUCUAAAUAAAAAUGGAAUGAAGAGUGGAACAAUGCAAUUAGAAA